rnacentral:tRNA from 1 species
UCCCUGGUGGCUUAGAGGGUAAAGCGUCCGCCUGCAACGCGGACUCAGGGGUUGAAUCAGGGAU